AUUUACGCUAAUGAAGGAAAUUUUCCUACUUUUUAAUUUUUAAUCGUUACAAAUUGAAACUAAAAACAUUAAGGAAGGCCUGUCUACUGAAACCCUACCAAUCUCUUCCCAUCCUCAACCCCCAAAUCACGAUGCCAAUGUUUUAUAUUCACAAAAUUGUCAAGGUCCCCGUGAAACCGUAGCCGCCUACUACUAAUUUUCUGUUGAACUAACUUCGUAUAUCUAUCUGGCACUAUCAAUCUCUUGAAGUUUGGAGUUGCGAUCGGUUAGCGAAUAAGCCAAUCCCAGCGUGACGCAGAAAAUCGAAAGGGGAGAUGACCAGAACCCUGAAAUCCAUUAACCACAUAUGGCAUACUGAUGCAUAGUCGAUGCAAAAGGUAAAUGAGUUACUAAAUUAUAGGGCUAUCCUUUUCACUACUACAUUGCGUGAUGCUAUUUCCAACAGGAUAUGAACAUACAGUCACUUAUCUUCUGUUAAGAGUUGUUUGGUUGUGCUUGAUGGUGACUCUAAUCCAAACAACACGGCAGAUUGGAUUGGAAAAGAAGCUUGUGGAUACUUGUUCGUGAGGGAAAAGCUUAUAGAAAGCACUGUCCACCAUUCUUGGGACAUUGAAAUUUGGAAGUUAGGAAAAGAUUGCCAAAGAUGUUUUGUCACCUAAACAGCUGGCUGAGAAGGGGAUAUCAUCUGUCAAACACUUCCUACAUUUAAGGUAGCCGCAUGACUUUAUAUACAUUUUCAACAUAUCUUACGAGUUCUUGGAAUACUUUAAAAGAAAGCGAGAGCAACUAAUGUAAAGGAAUGGUUGACUUGGGGAAAACAUGGAAACUAAAGCUUUUUCAUCAGAAGGACGAUAUUAAAGCUAUGACCAGCGUAGAUUGUUUUGGACGUUUAAGGGAAAAGUUAUUUAAUUGUAUGUUGAAGUAACUUAUAGUUGGUUCAAAUUCUUUGUAGUGUACUGGAAAGUAUUGAAAUAGGAAUGGAUGUUAUUGUGAAUAAAUUAUUGUUAAUCUA